GGCCCGGUCCGUCGCAGUGGAACCUCUUCGAACUGGGUCAGGCCGGGAACGGAGCAGCCCUAAGAUCAUGGUUCCAGGUGCGCACGGCCCGGGCCCAC
rnacentral:SRP_RNA from 1 species